rnacentral:rRNA from 1 species
UACGUAGGGUGCAAGCGUUGUCCGGAAUUAUUGGGCGUAAAGAGCUCGUAGGCGGUCUGUCGCGUCGGCUGUGAAAACCCGGAGCUCAACUCCGGGCCUGCAGUCGAUACGGGCAAACUGGAGUACUGCAGGGGAGACUGGAAUUCCUGGUGUAGCGGUGAAAUGCGCAGAGUAUCAGGAGGAACACCGGUGGCGAAGGCGGGUCUCUGGGCCGAUACUGACGCUGAGGAGCGAAAGCGUGGGGAGCGAACAGG